rnacentral:rRNA from 1 species
AUUGAACGCUGGCGGCAUGCUUUACACAUGCAAGUCGAACGGCAGCGCGGGCUUCGGCCUGGCGGCGAGUGGCGAACGGGUGAGUAAUACAUCGGAACGUGCCCAGUAGUGGGGGAUAGCUCGGCGAAAGCCGGAUUAAUACCGCAUACGACCUGAGGGUGAAAGCGGGGGAUCUUCGGACCUCGCGCUAUUGGAGCGGCCGAUGGCAGAUUAGCUAGUUGGUGGGGUAAAGGCCUACCAAGGCGACGAUCUGUAGCUGGUCUGAGAGGACGACCAGCCACACUGGGACUGGGACACGGCCCAGACUCCUACGGGAGGCAGCAGUGGGGAAUUUUGGACGAUGGGCGAAAGCCUGAUCCAGCAAUGCCGCGUGUGUGAUGAAGGCCUUCGGGUUGUAAAGCACUUUUGGCGGGAACGAAAAGGACUGUGCCAAUACCACGGUUCGAUGACGGUACCCGCAGAAUAAGCACCGGCUAACUACGUG